rnacentral:lncRNA from 10 species
CUCAUACCCAGGAAUCUCAACUCCCAGUGUGAGUUUUUCCCACCACAGCGUGAAUCCAGGUUGUUCCUGCAAUGUUAUGCAAUGUGAGUGGAGCUUUCUAACAAUAAGAGCACCAUCUAUGGUCUGGCUGUCUGCUGAGCAGCCUCAUCUGUCAAAGGAGCAGAAAAUUCCAAAGCAUGAUCCUAUGAAUCAAACCUGACACCCACAGACACAGGAGCUCCCUCCUCCCCAACCGCCAAACCCUCAAGCUUCCACAGAGAUCUGAGCCUCUCUGGGUUGAGGAAGAGAGGGACUGUUCUCCCGUAUUAAUCAGAUCCCAUUAAUUUUUCAAAGUAGACAACAGCCCACUUACUCAUCUGCUGUGGAGCCUCAUCCAUAAUUGAUCCUGAACUGCACUUACCCUAACAGACCGCGCAGAUGCCGGCUGCACGUAGAGCUCUGGGAGGGUUGUCUACUGAUGAGCCUACUCCAAGUAGUGAAGGCACUCACAGCCAUGGCACGUGGUAACUUCAAUGGGCCUGACACUUUUCCUUCCAUCAAAAACAACAAGGAAGAGGAAAGGAAUGACUCCCCAGAUGCUCUGAGUGGUUGUUCUGAGGUCAUUUCUAUGUACAAGUCAGCUUGAGGGGAA